UACGUAGGGGGCUAGCGUUGUCCGGAAUCAUUGGGCGUAAAGCGCGUGUAGGCGGCCCGGUAAGUCCGCUGUGAAAGUCGGGGGCUCAACCCUCGAAAGCCGGUGGAUACUGUCGGGCUCGAGUGCGGAAGAGGCGAGUGGAAUUCCUGGUGUAGCGGUGAAAUGCGCAGAUAUCAGGAGGAGCACCGGUGGCGAAGGCGGGUCUCUGGGCCGAUACUGACGCUGAGGAGCGAAAGCGUGGGGAGCGAACAGG
rnacentral:rRNA from 1 species